AACGAACGCUGGCGGCAUGCUUAACACAUGCAAGUCGAACGAGACCUUCGGGUCUAGUGGCGCACGGGUGCGUAACGCGUGGGAAUCUGCCCUUUGCUACGGAAUAACUCAGAGAAAUUUGUGCUAAUACCGUAUAAUGUCGAAAGACCAAAGAUUUAUCGGCAAAGGAUGAGCCCGCGUAGGAUUAGCUAGUUGGUGAGGUAAAGGCUCACCAAGGCGACGAUCCUUAGCUGGUCUGAGAGGAUGAUCAGCCACACUGGGACUGAGACACGGCCCAGACGCCUACGGGAGGCAGCAGUGGGGAAUAUUUGAGAAUGGGCGAAAGCCUGAUCCAGCAAUGCCGCGUGAGUGAUGAAGGCCUUAGGGUUGUAAAGCUCUUUUACCAGGGAUGAUAAUGACAGUACCUGGAGAAUAAGCCCCGGCUAACUCCGUGCCAGCAGCCGCCGUAACAC
rnacentral:rRNA from 1 species